rnacentral:rRNA from 1 species
GAGUUUGAUCAUGGCUCAGAUUGAACGCUGGCGGCAGGCCUAACACAUGCAAGUCGAGCGGAUGAGUGGAGCUUGCUCCAUGAUUCAGCGGCGGACGGGUGAGUAAUGCCUAGGAAUCUGCCUGGUAGUGGGGGACAACGUUUCGAAAGGAACGCUAAUACCGCAUACGUCCUACGGGAGAAAGCAGGGGACCUUCGGGCCUUGCGCUAUCAGAUGAGCCUAGGUCGGAUUAGCUAGUAGGUGGGGUAAUGGCCCACCUAGGCGACGAUCCGUAACUGGUCUGAGAGGAUGAUCAGUCACACUGGAACUGAGACACGGUCCAGACUCCUACGGGAGGCAGCAGUGGGGAAUAUUGGACAAUGGGCGAAAGCCUGAUCCAGCCAUGCCGCGUGUGUGAAGAAGGUCUUCGGAUUGUAAAGCACUUUAAGUUGGGAGGAAGGGCAGUAAGUUAAUACCUUGCUGUUUUGACGUUACCAACAGAAUAAGCACCGGCUAACUUCGUGCCAGC